rnacentral:rRNA from 1 species
CGACCGGCGCACGGGUGAGUAACACGUAUGCAACCUGGCCGUCACAGGUGGGAUAACCGGAAGAAAUUCCGACUAAUACAGCAUAACACUCCUGAGGGACAUCCUUCGGGAGUCAAAGGAGGCAACUCCGGUGACGGAUGGGCAUGCGGCGCAUUAGGUAGUUGGUAGGGUAACGGCCUACCAAGCCGACGAUGCGUAGGGGUUCUGAGAGGAAGGUCCCCCACAUUGGAACUGAGACACGGUCCAAACUCCUACGGGAGGCAGCAG